UUCUAACUCUGAUCAGUUAUCCUGAUCGAAGACAGUGUCUGGCAGGCAGUUUGACUGGGGCGGUCGCCUCCUAAAAGAUAACGGAGGCGCUCAAAGGUUUGCUCAGAAUGGUUGGAAAUCAUUCGUAGCGUGUAAAGGCAUAAGCAAGCUUGACUGUGAGACUGACAAGUCGAGCAGGUACGAAAGUAGGACUUAGUGAUCCGGUGGUUCCGUAUGGAAGGGCCAUCGCUCAACGGACAAAAGCUACCCCGGGGAUAACAGGCU
rnacentral:rRNA from 1 species